GGGUACAUGGUCUAAUGGCUAUGAUUCGCCCUUAGCAACCCGAUAUUUCAUCGGAACGCAAUUUGGGCGGGGUUCCCGGUUCAAUUCCGGGUGUAUCCA
rnacentral:tRNA from 1 species